rnacentral:misc_RNA from 1 species
CCUCACCUGCGAUGCGCUCGA